UUUCAAUAACAGAAUUAAGGGCUUUUCAUUUAAAAGCUUAAAACAAGCAGAAAAUUACAGAAUUCUGAUUCUUCCAAAGAAUUCUUGGUAGCAAAUUGCUAUAUUUAGUUGGUAUUACAAAUGACCUCUUGGCAUGAAAGAAAUAACUACUGCAUGACCUUUUCUUUGUUGAAAGAAAAUUAUAGUUCCAAGUUCUGCAAGACCGCUAUAUCAUUCCAUGGAAGCCUGCUGAAUCCAGGAGUACUGCUCUAAUUUGCUCAGGAUGCACGUCCUGCCCUUUUUGCUCAGCUUGGAAGAUAUCCAUGGCAAAACCAUUGAAACAACUGAUGACAGCUUGCUCGAUAUCUAUGCCAAGGUUAUCCAAGGCCCUCAUGGUGGAGAGCAGGAGACCAGGUCUGCGGCCACAAAACAUGUGAAUGUUUACAGCUCUUCCUUCUCUCACUCUUACUUCAACCUAUAAAGAAAAACCAACACUGAAGCAUUGAAACAUUGUCUUAAUUCUUAUUCAAGCUAAAAUUGAGGAUCCAAAAGAAAAAAAUUAAUUGCUGCUACUAUACCAAAAAAGUUUCCUGAAUGGAAAAGCAAAGAAGUUGAACAGUUUUUUUUUUUUUCCUUUAUCCAUAAGAUGAGAGAUGGAGGGGGAAAAAGUGGAGUUUGAACUUUGAAGUGAAGUUCCAAGUCUCUGGUCAAUAGGACAAUCUAGAACUGUGAAUAUUGGGUGUGGAGAUGGAGAACAUAUUAGAAGAACAAACCAAAUGUCAUGGUUUUAGAAAACAGGACAAGCAAAAUUCAAGAGAGGCAAUAAUAAAAUCCCAGAAGCAUAAGAGAAAAAAUUACCCUUGCUGGUUGACCAUUUGGACUUGGCAAUGGGCUGGGGCAGAGUUUAUCCUUGAUACGACUGGACAGGGUUGAUGGAGUGGGUGUCAAAGGGUGAAAACUUGUAGGCGUCAAAGAAGAGCCAGGAGGAGUUGACUCCAAUUCAUUAUGGAGGUCGUUGAUCCUUUGCAGAAGUUCCUUCAAGUACUCAAUUGCAUCCCCAAGGAUUGAUGCCCUAUCCAUCUGUCACCACAAUAACAUUGCAAGUAUAACUCACAUUGUGUUAUUUAAUUUAGAGCUCCAUAUGUGUUUACUUAGUAGCUUUUCUCAAACAGCAGCACGAUAUUCAUAUUCCUUUUAUGAGCUAGGUUUUGAGAAGAGCAUAAAAUAAAUUAAUUACUACUAAGCCCUUGAUCCAUGGUUUGUUUUUGGCACUGUUCUGGUCUGACUACUGCUGAUAUUUUGAACCUAAAGUUGUUAAGAAGUCAGCAAGUUCUUUAACAAUGGACUUCUGAACAGUUUCUAUUAUAUCUGCACAACCUCACAAUACUCUCCUUUCCAAGCUGAAACUUGCCACAGAUUUUGACAAUAGGACACUAGUUUGAGUGAAAUCAGACUCUGGGAAAAUAGAUUUUUUGAUUUAAUUAGUUUCUUCAGUAACUUUCCUGAAUUUAUAUUAUUAGCAAAACAAAACAACAGAAGAAAUUUCCAAGAAAAAGAAAAUAAAACGAGACAGAAAUUUUAAUAAUUCAUAUUUAUCUUUUAUGAAUUGAUUAACUUUAUAAUUGAAAAAAAAAAAAAAACAAUAUGAUGCGUAACUUGAUCCUGGAACCUACCAGUCCCAGAUGAACAUUUGGGCAUGCUUUAUGAUCUAACUUGUAACAAUCAGGUUGUCCACUCUAUUUCUGAUGUGAUGAAACUCUGGAAAUUCAUAGACAGCAGGUGUAAUCUCCUAUUUUUUGGUGGGCUAGGAAGAGUUUUAGUUCUUCAAACCAACCUGCUUUUUUAAACUUACUCCUAUAUGUCAAAUAAACUAAAUAGAUAGUUGUGUCUAGCAGAAGGAUCGAAAUUGUCACAAAUCAGAAAUUUGUCACCUUAGGAUAAAUAAACUGAAAAUCUAAGGCACAAGUAUAGCCAUGACAAGCAAACAAAUCACAUAAUGUGGCAACAACAGUUGACAGGCAAUGAUAGAGAAGAACUGUUGAGAGGAAGAAAGAAAACCAGACAUAGGCAAUGAAAUUCAAAAUAAUAAGACUUGCCCAUUUUAUUUAUUUAUUUAUUUAAAAAAAGGAAGAAGAAAGAUAAAGAGACUGUUUAAUGCGACAACUUUAUGGAUGAGGAGAUACUAUAAUCUUUUAUUUCUGUGCCAUUGACACAACAAAUUAUAAGUUAUAUCUAAAACAGAAGUAAGAAACUCAUUAUUUGAAUUCACAAGAAAAUGGUGGAAAAGAAAUUCAUACCUUGCUUAUCUUUGGAACUACAGACCUUAGCAUGUAUAGCCUAUCAUUGAGCUUCUUCCGGCGCCUCCUUUCUGCCAUCAAAUUCUUAGCAGGAAGCCCCUUCUUCUUUCCCUUCUGAUCCCCAACACCACCGCCAGUGACACUGCUAUUUGCAUUUGAGCUAUUCCCUCCAUUUUUACCAAUCUCCUCCAUUUUAAUAUUCUCCGUUAACUCAUCAGAAUCAUAAUUCAAACCCGACCCAUCAAUGCUUACAUCCUCCACAAUGUCAUCCACGUUACCCAUUUUUCUCUUCUUCUCAUUCUCUUUGCCCAACUGAGUCAAUUCUCUCUUUCCUUUAUCAAUCUCAAUCCCACUCAAAUCCCCCAAAUUCUUCCUCAAAGCUGCUCUCUUUUGAAACAAAGUAGGCUGUGCACCCAUUGAAGGAAAGGUUUCAAGAGGCCUCAACAACUUGGACCUAUUCAAAAAUAGCGUAUUCCCUGAGCUCUCAUCAGAACCCCUAAAUCCUGUUAACCCUGGACCAUUUUCGGGCAAUUGGAGCAUGCAGGUAGUUGGAAAGGGAAGAUCGGAGCAUAAAUUAGAAGUGCUAAUUUGAUUAUUUGAGCUAAAAUCAAUGUAGCUGCCUAAGACCCCAGCUCCCCUGUUUAGCAAAGGCGAGGCGUUUGUUGUUGUUGUAGGAGCAGUUGCCUGGUUCUCAAGGAACCCAAUUUCGCCCAAAUCAAAGCCAUGCUCUAAAGGGUUGUUAGAGACAACGUUAAGGAGCGAAGAUAAGGUAGGCUUCGAGUGCAUAAAGUAGUGCACGUGAGAAGGGUCUAGAUUAUUGAAAACAGAGGAGGUUGGUGAGCAAGAAGAGGAGGAAUCCACAGAGUGAAGAAAGAGAUUAUCUGGCUCAGCAAGAUUUGGUGAAAAUGUGAUGUCUCUGAUAGUAUCAUGAUGAUUAUGGAUAGUAGUAUUAGUGACGUACCAGUCGUCUUCUACAUCGAGCAUGGAUUUGAAGUUAGAAAUCGAACCCAUCUCUUGCUUGCUCUCCAUCACAACACAGCUAUUGUUAAUGUUGUUGUUUGUGUUGGAGUCUCGUGCUUCUUUAUCUUCCAUCCAGACAGUGCCAUUUAGUCCAGAUAGCAUUUUCGUUCUGGAUUUCUGUUAUAUUUUCUCUGGAAAGUGAGGGAAGCAAAGCAAAAUUGUUGAGAAAAGGGUGAGAUAAAGAGAAGAACGGAGAGAGAGAGAGAGAGAGA
rnacentral:misc_RNA from 1 species